rnacentral:rRNA from 1 species
CAGCAGCCGCGGUAAUACGGAGGGUGCAAGCGUUAAUCGGAAUUACUGGGCGUAAAGCGUGCGUAGGCGGUUCGUUAAGUCUGUUGUGAAAGCCCCGGGCUCAACCUGGGAAUGGCAAUGGAUACUGGCGAGCUAGAGUGUGUCAGAGGAUGGUGGAAUUCCCGGUGUAGCGGUGAAAUGCGUAGAGAUCGGGAGGAACAUCAGUGGCGAAGGCGGCCAUCUGGGACAACACUGACGCUGAGGCACGAAAGCGUGGGGAGCAAACAGGAUUAGAUACCCGUGUAGUCCCUGUCUCUUAUAA